GACGGCUUUGUCGGCUGCGAUCUUUUUAAGUUCGUCUUGGGUGAGGACUGGGGCGGAUUGGGCUUUAAGGGAGAAGAUUUUGGUUGGGGCGCGGAGGUUAAGGGAGGGUGUGCGUAAGAAGAGGCGGGAGGAGGAAGGGGUGGUGUUGUGGAGGGAGGAAAGAGAGGAGGAGGAAGGAGGGGAGAGGAAGGAUAAGGAGGCCAUGGUAGGUGGUGGUGGUAGAGGGAUUGGGAAAUGAGAGGUGGUUUUGUUUUUUUAAUGGGUUGUUCGAUCUUAGUCCAAAGUGGUGUGGUUGUUAU
rnacentral:lncRNA from 1 species